UAGGGAAUUUUCGUCAAUGGGGGGAACCCUGAACGAGCAAUGCCGCGUGUGUGAAGAAGGUCUUCGGAUCGUAAAGCACUGUUGUAAGUGAAGAAUGCCAUAUAGAGGAAAUGCUAUGUGGGUGACGGUAGCUUACCAGAAAGCCACGGCUAACUACGUGCCAGCAGCCGCGGUAAUACGUAGGUGGCAAAGCGUUAUCCGGAAUCAUUGGGCGUAAAGGGUGCGUAGUGGCACGAUAAGUCUGAAGUAAAAGGCAACAGCUCAACUGUUGUAUGCUUUGGAAACUGUCGAGCUAGAGUGCAGAAGAGGGCGAUGGAAUUCCAUGUGUAGCGGUAAAAUGCGUAGAUAUAUGGAGGAACACCAGUGGCGAAGGCGGUCGCCUGGUCUGUAACUGACACUGAUGCACGAAAGCGUGGGGAGCAAAUAGGAUUAGAUACC
rnacentral:rRNA from 1 species